CUGGCAGCAUUAGAAAUUGAAUUCCUGAAUACAUCAACAGGCCAGGUAUGUUUCAGACAGAUGCUCCCUAUCUCAGGCUGCCCUGCCAAUGACCUCAACCCUGAUUUGGAAGGACAUCUCAAUCUACUACAAAGAGGAAAGGUAAUUUCUACCAGGCCCUGUUGGCUCAGUCUUAGACCACU
rnacentral:sRNA from 1 species